rnacentral:lncRNA from 1 species
UGUGUGUUUCUGCUAUAAUUCCUUAAAAACCUACCUUCUGCAAAGGUUUCUGGGGUGGUUUGUUAUAGAGCGUAAUUUUAGCAUAGUUACUGAUCUACUAUGUAUAUAUCAUGAUUUAUUCUACCAGCACCCUACUGAAGGCCAUUUGAGUUGACUCCACUCUUUCCCACUACCCUGACAUGUCAUAUUUUUAUUAGUAUAUCCUGAGGAUAAAUUCAUCAAAGUGGGAUUACUGAUUGAAAGACAGAAAUACAUAUGUAGUUUUGCUAAGUAAUAUCAAGUUCCCCUCCAUAGCUGUUUGCCAUUUUGUAUUCCCCAUGCCUCGCCAACAAAAUAUUGUAAACUUUUGGAAUUUCACCAAUCUGAUAAUUGAAAAUGGCAUCUCAGUAUAAUAUUAGUAUACAUUUAUCUUAUUACGAGCAAUGCAUCUUUUAAUAUAUUUUAAAGAUAUUUUGCAAUGUUUUUCUGUAAACUUCUUUUUCAUCACUUUCUUCUUUUUAUUAUUAGAUUUAUUAGUCCUUUUUCCCUGAAAUGGGUAACAUUUUUUUUUCUCAGUUGUCAUCUUUGUAUUUUUAGUACAGAUGGGGUUUCACCAUGUUGCUCAGGCUGGUCUCAAACUCCUGGGCUCAAGCAAUCCACCCGCCUCAGCCUCCCAAAGUACUGGGAUUACAGGCCUGAGCCUGGGAAGAUUUUUUAUGUAGUUAAAUUUAUCAGUUUUUUAUGCUUCUAAUUUUGGUUCAUAUUAGAAACUUAAGUUUUCUUCUAGUACUUCCAUGGUUUCAUUUUUUAGCUACCUCUCUGAAACAUUUGCAGUUUGUCCUGGUUUAU